UGGGGAAUCUUGCGCAAUGGACGAAAGUCUGACGCAGCCACGCCGCGUGAGUGAAGAAGGCCUUCGGGUUGUAAAGCUCUGUCGGAAGGGACAAAAAUGGUUAGGGUUAAUAGCCCUAGCACUUGAUGGUACCUUUAAAGGAAGCACCGGCUAACUUCGUGCCAGCAGCCGCGGUAAUACGAAGGGUGCAAGCGUUGCUCGGAAUUAUUGGGCGUAAAGGGUAGGUAGGUGGUUACGUAUGUCUGGGGUGAAAUCCCUGAGCUUAACUCAGGAAGUGCCUUGGAAACGGCGUAACUAGAGUGCUAUAGAGGUUCGUGGAAUUCCCGGUGUAGCGGUGAAAUGCGUAGAGAUCGGGAGGAACAUCAGAGGCGAAGGCGGCGAACUGGAGAGCAACUGACACUGAACUACGAAAGCGUGGGUAGCAAACAG
rnacentral:rRNA from 1 species